rnacentral:tRNA from 1 species
UCUCUGGUGGUCCUGUGGUUAGGACUUGGCACUUUCACUGUGGUGGCCCAGGGUUCAAUACCUGGCUGGGGAA